rnacentral:rRNA from 1 species
UNAUAGUAGGGGCCAGCGUUUNCGGAAUANUGGNGUAAAGGGUACGCAGCGGUUACCAAGUNGAUUGAAUUUUNUAGNUCACUACNAAACGUGCCCCCAAACUGCUAACUGAGUAAGGAGAGGUAAGUGGNAUUCCCUGGUGUAGCGGUGGAAUGCGUAGAUAUCAGGAGGAAUACCGGUGGCGAAGGCGACUUACUGGACUUAUACUGACGCUGAGGUACGAAAGCGUGGGGAGCAAACAGGAUUAGAUACCCUGGUAGUCCACGCCGUAAACGAUGAGUGCUAGGUGUCGGGGGUCAAACCUCGGUGCCGACGUUAACACAUUAAGCACUCCGCCUGGGGAGUACGUGCGCAAGCAUGAAACUCAAAGGAAUUGACGGGGGCCCGCACAAGCGGUGGAGCAUGUGGUUUAAUUCG